rnacentral:lncRNA from 1 species
ACAUUUUGAUCCGUCAUCUUGUCCAAAAUUGUCAUUCAUAAAAUAAUGUACGUCCAAUCGUAUCCGGAAUCCUGUUAGGAGUUUGAGGUUCAUGCACUGGACUUACUGCGAUAUAAUAGGGCGUAUGGUCGGGCUUCUUUACAAAAAUGUGAAAAAUGUCAAAGAUWUUCGUGUCAGUCGAAUACAACACUGAGUGGACAAAGUGAAAGCACCCUGUUGCAACAGCGACAAGAAACGGCAACCUAAAAUCUCACCGACACACUUUUAUUGUAAUAUAAAAAUAUGCCCACUCAUUCUAAUACCAUACAUUACUUCUUAUUUCUAAUGAAAGGCGCAACUUCAUCAUAACAGUGUUAGUCUGCAACCAUUUUGCAUAURAUUAACUACAUUGAAACUUACCUCAAACACCUCCGUUAUUGUUAUUUGUAAUACAAUUCGUCCCCCUUUGUUUGUCUAAUGUGGGAUAUUACAUUUUUUUGUAAACUGUGUAAAGUUAUUGUUGUGUUUCUGGGCCAGCCGGAUAUGUGUACGUGAAUCGACAYCGCACGGACAGAGAUGCGAAGAAUGCUCGGAAUGAGAACAGGAAUGAAAUGAACGCGAAGAGCGAGUUUGCUUUGGGGCGGAGCAAAGGUGGCGUCAUCCCGAUCCUAACAGCCCUAGAUAGGAGGGACAAGGCGGAAAAAAACAAGCAGAAUGAUCUCACAGGACACGUCGAAUUCAAAUUGGUGGGAGAAAGAAGAGGGAAUUUCUUUGUGGAUGUUUGAAGAUACGGAUCAAUGCCUGCUGCCUUUGAUGGUCAUCCUGGUACUCAGAGGCAUGUCAUUGUACCAAUCCUGCACUACAGAGAACAACAAGGACCCCAUCACAUGGUGCAGCCAACGUGGCCAUGCAGAUCCUUUCAUUGUUGUCUCAUCAUAGAGGACUAUGUGCUAUUUCUGAAUCACAUCACAUGAAGGAUAAGUGUGCAACCAUGUGGAGAACAUUUUCUUCUUUGAGUACAACUCCUAAGGUACUGGAAGACCAUUAUACAGUAAGCAUGAAUCCUAUCAACCCUACCCUGCACAGCCUGCAUUAAGAGAAGAAUAGACCAGGCCCUAUCUUUAUUCACAGAUCUUAUCUCUUCAUAAUUACAUAUUUACUAGGCUGCCCUGGGGCGGCAGGGUAGCCUAGUGGUUAGAGCAUUGGACUAGUAACCAAAAGGUUGCAAGUUCAAAUCCCCGGGCUGACAAGGUACAAAUCUGUCAUUCUUCCCCUGAACAGGCAGUUAAUCCACUGUUCUUAGGCUGUCAUUGAAAAUAAGGAUUUGUUCUUAACUGACUUGCCUAGUAAAAUAAAAUUGUUUUCUGACAGAUCAAUACAAAUAGCAAGGGAUAGAGUGGAUGAGUUAAUCAAUUGUCUGUUUUGUAUUAACCUGACACAAUGUAAAUAGAAUGAAGAACAGCUACAGCUAUAGGGUUGUCUUUGAAUGUGAUUACCCCCCACAAAGGAUAGGAACUUCUUGAAGAGGUAACUUCUUGAAGAGGUAACGGGUAAUCAUUAAACAAGACACCUACAUCCUGGUCAACACAUUGUUCAUUGAAAUAGUGUUUUUCUUUCACAGCAUCGCAUGUAAAACAGAUAGAUUCAUCUAAACCGAGCAGGACUUUCCAUCUACAAACUUCACUGUCUAUUCAGCAAAAGGUAUCUGCCAGUAAACCACAACCAUUAGAGAGAAAGAUUAUGGCAUAACCGAUUUCUAAAAUGUGAUUAAAACCAGAUGGGAGUGCAGAUUGUAUGAGGCAGAGGGUUUUACGGUAUCACACAAAAGUAUGUUUUUAAAACUGUUUCAUGUCCUACCAUUUAAAAAAAUAUACAAUAUGCACAUCUCUUUAGCAACAAACAGGAAUGAUGUGUCUCUAAACGAGAUAUGUAUUGCUGCAUAUCUGCCAAUCCCUUGACCUGAUUUAAUUACAGAAAACCCCAAAACUCUUACCACACAUAAAUCAAUAUUUUCAAUCUAUAAGGAAAAAACUGAUUGCACACAGGGAAAAUGGGGUAAGCAAUCUUCAGCAAGAAAUGUAACAAACCAUCUAUACAAAAGGAGUACAAGGUAAAGCCUUUACAACCAUAUACUACAUAGAAGAAAGGAACUUCAAUGAAGGACCAAUUCACUCUUUCAGAUCAUAAUCCUUGGUGCCAAUCAAUAGAUGCCAACAUAAAGUGCCAACCCUGUAAUAACUAAGAACCACUUAUCAAUCGUAUUACUCACUUCUUGCCUCACCUUUUGUGUGUGUGUGUCUGUGUGUGUUUUCUCAGCAUCGUACACUACGGAGGCAAGAGAGUAUCAUGUCUGUUAGUCAUGUUAGUCAGGCUUAUUUGAUAUAAUGAAUGGAGGGAGGGAUGUAGAAGAUGCGAUGGGAGGGUAAUUACUUUAAUGGCUGCAAAGGCUCCUGUUCAAAACACUUAUGCGCACGAUGGUUGAUUAUGGAUGGUCAUUUCAGCAUUCUGAUGAAAACGCAGAGCUCUUAGUCCCUGGGCUUGACUGAUAAUAGCAUGACCAGAAAUGUGUCAGAACAAUGAAGUACUGAAAUACAUUGUCACAUCCUCCCCUGAAGGUCCAGGCCUUCAGUUCUGGGCUUCAAUUCAUGGAAAUAGCGGUACUUGUUAAACGCACCACAAAAAGCAAGAUGAAGACAACAGAAGGUCAGAGGUUAUACAGUAUGAUGUAUAGAAAGAUAGCAACUCAGUUCACAAGAGAUAUGACCAAGAGUAAAAACAGAAAUAUCAAGAAAACAAACUGAGCUAUGAGUAUUUUCUACUUUAUUCGAAGACUCAAACAAGAUAACUCACUCAUUUCUCCUCUCACUCAUUUCUGUGCUCAAUUAAGUCAGUUGACAUGACACACUAAAAGCAUCUUAACUAAUCUUAAGUGUCUGUAAAUUGAAAUAAAUUAAUUCCAACUCCUAAAAAGA